rnacentral:rRNA from 1 species
GACGAACGCUGGCGGCGUGCCUAAUACAUGCAAGUAGAACGCUGAAGGCGGAGCUUGCUUCUCUGGAUGAGUUGCGAACGGGUGAGUAACGCGUAGGUAACCUGCCUGGUAGCGGGGGAUAACUAUUGGAAACGAUAGCUAAUACCGCAUAAGAGUAGAUGUUGCAUGACAUUUGCUUAAAAGGUUCAAUUGCAUCACUACCAGAUGGACCUGCGUUGUAUUAGCUAGUUGGUGAGGUAACGGCUCACCAAGGCAACGAUCCAUAGCCGACCUGAGAGGGUGAGCGGCCACACUGGGACGGGGACACGGCACAGACUGCUAGGGGAGGCAGCAGGAGGGAAUCGUGAGCAAUGGACGGAAGUCUGACCGAGCAACGCCGCGUGAGUGAAGAAGAUUGUCGGGUCGUAAAGCUCUGUUGUAAGAGAGGAACGAGUGUGAGAGUGGAAAGUUCAGAGAGUGACGGUAUCGUACCAGAAAGGGACGGCUAACUACGUG